GACGAACGCUGGCGGCGCGCCUAACACAUGCAAGUCGAACGAGAGAUGAGGAGCUUGCUCUUCAAAUCGAGUGGCGAACGGGUGAGUAACGCGUGAGGAACCUGCCUCAAAGAGGGGGACAACAGUUGGAAACGACUGCUAAUACCGCAUAAGCCCACGGCUCGGCAUCGAGCAGAGGGAAAAGGAGUGAUCCGCUUUGAGAUGGCCUCGCGUCCGAUUAGCUAGUUGGUGAGGUAACGGCCCGACCAAGGCGACGAUCGGUAGCCGGACUGAGAGGUUGAACGGCCACAUUGGGACUGAGACACGGCCCAGACUCCUACGGGAGGCAGCAGUGGGGAAUAUUAGGUCAAUGGACGAGAGUCUGAACCAGCCAAGUAGCGUGCAGGAUGACGGCCC
rnacentral:rRNA from 1 species